rnacentral:rRNA from 1 species
GAUGAACGCUGGCGGCGUGCCUAACACAUGCAAGUCGAACGGAGUUUAUGAAGUUUUCGGAUGGAUUAAACUUAGUGGCGGACGGGUGAGUAACGCGUGGGUAACCUGCCUCAUACAGGGGGAUAACAGUUGGAAACGACUGCUAAAACCGCAUAACAUUGCGACACCGCAUGGUGAUGCAAUUAAAUAUUUAUAGGUAUGAGAUGGGCCCGCGUCUGAUUAGCUAGUUGGUGAGGUAAUGGCUCACCAAGGCGACGAUCAGUAGCCGGCUUGAGAGAGUGACCGGCCACAUUGGGACUGAGACACGGCCCAAACUCCUACGGGAGGCAGCAGUGGGGAAUAUUGCACAAUGGGGGAAACCCUGAUGCAGCGACGCCGCGUGAGUGAAGAAGUAUUUCGGUAUGUAAAGCUCUAUCAGCAGGGAAGAAAAUGACGGUACCUGACUAAGAAGCCCCGGCUAACUACGUGCCAGCCGCCGCAGUAA